GUCUUCGCCAAGGUCAUUUUGAAAUCCCUCUCUGCUCCGUUUCACGUCACCUCCUUCCUCCCUCUUGUAAGAGCACACGUGACUGCAUUCGGAUCCACUUGGGAAAUCCUGGGCCCCUGGGCUGCGUCCUAAUCCUGGAAACUUCCAGCUUCUUUCCCUGCGCUGUACGAGUUUAUACGUGAUCCUCUCGCGCCCCCUGCUGGCCAGACUAUGGAAUUGCAGGCAGCCCUUCUAAACUUGGCCGCCCAAAGACCACUGAGUCCUGCACUGAGGAAAAGGACGAAGGGCGUGAAGGGUUAUGGAACACCACCGGCAUUUAGCACGGAGAGACAAAAACCUAAAACCGGUAAAGAGGAGCCUUCAAGCUUGACCCUGACCGUUCAAGGAGAGGCUUCUAUGCUAUAUGCCGCAGUGAAUAGGACUCAAGCUCUGAUUUCUGGCCUCCCUCUUCCUGAGUGAGCUUGGUGGAGUCACUUCCCCUGUCUUUAGUUUUCUCAUCUGUAAAAUGGAGUUAAUAAAUGUACCCCAUCACUGGGUUA